GGAAGAAGAGUUCACUGUUUCUUCAGACGAAGAGCAGGACUCCGACGAUGAACGUUUGUAUUUUGAAGAGCGACUUGAUCCAGCUGAGGAUAUAAUUUCUGAAGAGAAUGUGGCAGCAUCACUCUCCUCUUCAGCGGGCAUUUGCAGAAAUGCGACGGACAUUCAUACAGGGUAAGUCACAUUUGCGGGCUUUUCUGUUUUAUUAGUAGACUUUUACUGAUGUUUUGCGUAGUAAUUUGGAAAAUACAAGAUGUAUAUAUAUAAACAUAUCUGUAUUUUCCGAAAAUACAUGAUACAAAUAAUGUUUUUAAUUUUUUUUUAGUAACGUGGCUUCAUCAUCAUUUACUCGCACGGGGGCAUGCAGAAACGAACCCGAAAUAAAUAAAGUGAUACAAUUUAUAUAUAUAUUUUUUAAGGUAAAAUGUAAGGCAAAAUUUGUUUAAUUAUUCCUCAUAACAUUUUUAUGCCACGAUCUACAGAACA